rnacentral:rRNA from 1 species
UACGAAGGGGGCUAGCGUUGUUCGGAAUCACUGGGCUUAAAGCGUGUGUAGGCGGGCCCGUAAGUGUCUUGUGAAAUCCCACGGCUCAACCGUGGAACUGCUGGGCAUACUGCGGGUCUUGGGCCAACUAGGGGCAGCCGGAACAAGCGGUGGAGCGGUGAAAUGCGUAGAUAUCGCUUGGAACGCCGAAGGUGAAAACAGGCUGCUGGGGUUGCGCCGACGCUGAGACACGAAAGCCAGGGGAGCGAACGGG